GUCAGCUCAUCUCUGCAGGGCCGUUGCUGCCGCUGCUAGAACAGUAUGCAGGCGUAGGUUCUUAUGACCAGAACACUCUUAGGGGGGCCCCGUGGCAAGUGCAGUCACAAGGCGCUAACGCUGACAAAUGUACGGGCAGCCAACUCCAACUAGCUAGUAUGGCUAAUCAAGAGCCUUCGUGCAGCACGUGGAAUCGGGCAGCACCCAUGUACCUGCCAUCGACGUCGUACACAGGUUAUUACGCUGGCGGUGAUCCGGCAAACGUCUCCUGGCAAGCUUCGCAAAUUCCUGGUGGAUCACGUCAUUAUGGUGUAACAAACCACACAUGAUGGUCAAAUACAGCACAACAAGAACCUACAACUACAAUGCACAGCGGCGCCGACACAUCUACUGCGGGGAGCUCUGAGCGCACGGAAGAUGCGUUCCACCAGACAGCAGACAAACAUGCCGCAAACAAUUUCGAGU